AAAGGCAAUCUGGAGAACAUUGUGUUUGAUCAAGAUGUUGCUAGAAAAGAGCUUGCACUAAUGAUAUGUGUUCAUGAGUACCCUCUAUCUAUGGUCGAUCAUUCAGGUUUUCGGAAAUUUUGCUCCACAUUACAACCAAUGUUUAAAAUGGUCUCAAGGAAUACUAUUAGAAAGGAAAUUCUGGGUAUGUAUACAGCUGAGAAGGAUAAGAUCGUGAAGUAUUUAGCAAAUUUCAGAAAUCGAGUUGCCAUCACCACAAACAUGUGGACUGCAGGACAUCAGAAGAGAGGUUACAUGGUAGUUACCGCACAUUUCAUCGAUGAGUUUUGGAAACUAAAGAGUAUUAUUUUGAGGUAA
rnacentral:rRNA from 1 species